UACAUUAUAUUCCAAGAGUCUGAUGCAAUUUAAGUUUCUAUGGUUGUCCCUGUUUUAAGUAUCGUCUUUUGUGAUUCUGUUUCCAUUUUUUCAUCUAGGGUUAGGCGUCGCCGGCAUUCCCUACCCCUCUGGUGACUUCUUCACCGGCAGGGAUAGCCUCCGACGUAGAAGCUCCGCUUGUGAAGUCUUACUCACAAGCUCUGAUGCUUUCCUCUUCUGCUUCGUUGAAUUCAUUCAAAUUUUCCAUGCGAUUUUCGGUGGAUGUUGAUGGUGAGCAAGGAUUUAGUUUUUCUGAGUCUAAGAUGAUUAAGGUUGCUGUGGAUUUUCAUCAUGCCUUUGUUUUGAAAUUUCUGAGAACUCGGCCUCCUAUGGAUAAAAUCAGACUUGUGGUGAUUAAAUCUUGGGGUUUGAAUGAAAUUCCCAUGAUUUCUUUUAUGGAUGAGCACCAUGUGUUGGUGCAGAUGAACAAUGAAAGGGAUUUUAUUCAUGCUUGGGCACAGGAAGGUAGGGCCAUUGAUGGUUGUGUGUUUAGGCUGUUCCGAUGGAUGAAAGAAUUUGAUUUGAAGAAGGAGCCUUUGGACACUGCGCCGCAAUGGAUUUUCCUUCUUGGAUUACCAUUGCAUAUGUAUAGAAUGGAUUGUCUUUAGAUUCUGGCUACUAGGUUUGGGCCUUUUUUGGGGGUUGACAAUGCAACGUUGAACGGGACGAGAGCAUCAAGGGCACCCAUUUGUGUGGAAAUUGAUCUUAUGGCUGAGCCUGUUUUGGAUUUUCCAAUGGUUGUAUCCAUUUGGCAGGAAGCUAGAUAUGAAAAGGUUGGUUUUUAUUCUUCAAAGUGCUGCCGGCAAGGUCAUACUUCAGUGGUCUACCUUGUGGGAGAGAAGUUUGUGGUAAGGGGUAAGGAGGAGGAGAAGAAUAGCCAGAAAAAAGUGUGUAAGGAAAAACAGAGAGGGCUAGAGACAGUGCCAGACCAGUUGGUUUUGCAAACUGGGGGAUCUAUUACUAAGGGGAAGGAUAUGGCGGAAUUUGGUAAUAAUGCUAUGUGUUCCUUGCAGGGUAAGGUUGAUGAGAUUGAGGAGGGGAAAUUGAUCAGGAAUAGGGGAAUGCAGAGUAGGAUAGGUAGAUGCCGGAAAUCCAAUGCAGCGAGGGGAAUAUGGAUCCUUUGAAAAAUUCUCAGACUAGUGUGGGGGUUGGUUGAUGUAAUAGCUGAUGAGGUUGUUGUUGAAAAGGCAUUACAGGUUACUAAUGGGGUAGUGUUGCCUGAUCCGAUUGCAGGGGAGCUUAUGGUGAAUGAAGAUCAGGUUGUAGAAGAUUCGGAAAAGGCAGGUAAUUCAAAUAUGAUUUCAGCUAUUUUUGAGUUAGAAAGCUCUUUUCCUUUGAUUAGUGAUAAGAAUGAUGUGCAUGUGAGUGAGGUAACUCGGUUUGCUCAAUCAGAUGGGGAGGAAGAGAUGAGGGUUUUGAAAUGUGCAGAUAAGAAGAUUUACAAUUCAGAUACAGAGAUCCAGCCUUUAGGAAAAAAGUUGAAAGGUUUGAAUUCUAAUGGUGUGCGACAAUCUCAACAGGUCUCGACCCGUACUUCAAAAAUGAGUUUAUGAUGUUCUCAAUUUUAUAUUGGAAUAUCAGGGGAUUAAGAAGGUCUAGAUUGAGGUUGAAAAGUAUUAAGAAAAUACAAAGUUGAAUUUGUAGUUAUUGCAAAGCCUUUUGCUUACGAGGGUUGUAUGCCUAGGUUGGCAGCAUUUCUAGAGUUUGAGAAUUAUAUUUCAACACAAGCUAUGAGGGGUAAAUUGCGGUUAUUUUGGAGUCAUUCAUAUGAUUUUGAAGUUGCCGAUUUUUCAUAUCAAAUGCUUACUGGAUGGGUAAGCAUGUAUACUAGGAAAUUUUUUCUUUCUUUUGUUUAUGCAAAAUGUACACAAAUUGAAAGAAGAGAAUUGUGGCAAGACUUGCAAAAUGUUCGUUAGGAGGAUUAUCCUUGGGUUAUUAUGAGUGAUUUUAAUAUUAUUAGGGCAGAUAAUGAGCAAAUUGGUAGUAACCCAAGAUCCCUUUCAACUAUGGCAGAUUUUAAUAAUUGUUUGGAUUAUUAUGGACUUAUGGAGGUUAGUUAUGGUGGUAGUCAUAUGUCUUGGUGCAAUGGCCAUCAAGGGUUGUCACAAGCUUGGGCACGUUUGGAUAGGGUGGUGAGUAAUUCUUUUUUUCUUUCUGAUUUUCCUUCUGCUUAGUUUGAUUAUUUGUCCCAUAAGACGUCAGAUCAUAGGCCGAUGGUGCUACAUUUAGAGAGGGAGGCUGUUAGAUAUAGACCGGCUCCUUUUCUGUUCCAGAAUAUGUGUGGUGCACUUAUGAAUCUUUUAAGAGUUGUGUUUAAUGUGUGGUCAGAAGAGGUGGUAGGCGCAGGCCUUUGGAAGUUGGCUGCUAAAUUGAAGAAAACAAAGGUCGCUUUGAGGUAUUGAAAUUUACAUACAUUUGGUAGGGUGGGAUGCAAUAUUAAGCUGCUAGAGGUGAGAUUGGAGAGAAUUGAACAAUCUUUGCAACGUGAUUUUUCAGCUGAAUUGGAGGCUAAUUUUAUUGCUACUAAAAUGGAACUUGAUUGUUGGGAGAAGAGGGACGAUAUUCGACUGUCUCAGCUUGCUAAGAAGAAAUGGCUUGUAGAUGAUGAUAACAAUUCUAACUUCUUUCAUGUAGCAGUUAAUCAUAGGAGGAAACUUCGGUUAUUUCUUCUAUGGUGUUAUUAGAUGGGACGGUGUUGGGAACUCAAGAAGAGGUGCAUGAUGGGGCUCUAAGAUAUUUUCAGCAGUUUUUAUUAGACUCGGUGUCAAGGGAAUCAGCAGAAUUGGCUUCUCUCAUUCAACAUGUUUUGUAGUUGGCUGACAAUGAGGAGAUUUGUGGUCCUCCUUCUGAGGAGGAGGUGAAGGAGGCGAUGUUGUCUAUUCCUCAUCAAAGUAAUCUAGGCCUAGAUGGGUUUGGAUCUGCUUUUUAUUCUUCUUGUUGGGAUUUGAUUAAAGAAGAUGUGGUGGAGGCGACGAGGGUUUUUUUUUGUGGUUCUUAUUUGACGAGGUUUUACUUGGCUUCUUAUAUUGUACUUAGUCCUAAGGUGAAGGAACUGAGAAGUUUUGAUACAUUCCAUCCUAUUAGCAGUUUUCUAAAAAAUUUUGGUUAUGUGCUAAACAAAGUUUCUGCCAAGGAUGAUCUCCCCCGAACAAGGGGCUUUCAUUCCUGGUAGGAGUAUUUUUGAAGACCCAUGGAAAACUAAAACCAUCUAGGGAUAUAUUUGUGAAGACCCAUGGAAAACUACAGAAGGAUGGUGAACAGUGGAUGAGGAACACAACAAACUCUUGCAUGCUCGUGGCAGCACUAAUUGCCACUAUGGUUUUUCCAGCUGCCUUCACAGUACCAGGUUCAUUUUCAGGUCACACAAUAGGCUUUUCAAUUCCAAGCUGCGAGCAACACUUGCUUCGGAAAUUAAGAAUGACAACAUCCAAACUAGACAUAAUCACAUGAUCCAGGUUCCAGACCAAGCUUUAAAAAAAAUCCAACCCAGUUGAGCAGUCCUACAGCCAACCAUGGAAUUCCUCGGUGUGAAAUUUGACCAAAUUAUGAUCAAGGCCUCAACGUGAUCUUCAUUAAUUAGCUCAGAAUAAUGUUGGUUUUUUUAAACCCAAGAGUGGUGGGCUGCUACUAAUUAUUAUAUGAAAGCUGCUACUUUUUAUUAAUUAGGACUAUCGAAGCUCUCUUGUAAGAUGAUUCUAUGAUGCAUAUAGCAAGCACAAUGUGCGAGCU